rnacentral:rRNA from 1 species
UCUCACUGGAGCCUUGAGCUCCCUAAAGGGCCGUCGAAGACUACGACGUUGAUAGGCUGGGUGUGUAAGCGUUGUGAGGCGUUGAGCUAACCAGUACUAAUUGCCCGUGAGGCUUGACCAUAUAACACCCAAACAAUU